ensembl:lncRNA
AAAUCAUGUACCACGUUGUCAGCUUUGUUGACACUGAAGAAGUGGAGGUUGUGCCUGCAAUCUGGGUGAAGAAUGGUGUGUGUUUAUGGCCUCCAUACGAGGGUGAAAUCAUUCAGAGGGCAGCCAAGUGUUUGGAGCAACCUCAGAAAUCUUGGUCUGCAUAUAAAGUUACGAUUAUGUAUACUGCAAAUAAUUAUAAUGAAGCAUGUCUGAAGCUACCUCUUGCAGAACAGCAGAGCGAUCUCCAGUCAGAGGCUGAGCCCGACUCCCAGAGGCCCUCAAAACGAAGAAAAAAACGAAACGGGCACCUACUGGAUGAUUUUGACAGUAAUGAGGAGGCUACCGCACCCCUAAAAAACAAUUUGGCACAGUCCCCUCAAAUACAGCCACUAUCCAAAAGGAUAUGUUCACCUUCUAAUGAUUUACAACCAAGUCCUCUAGGACAAAGACAAACGCAGCCCUCUGUAUGGCACCAAAACUCCCCGGGUGUGACACAGAUUGCGGAAACUUCAAGACCAUCCCAGCCGUGGCAAGCGAGUAGUUCUGACCGAGCAUCACGAGACAUCACAGAACAUAAGAGUGAACUCACAUGGCCACAGGACACAACUGUACAGUCCCCCGAACAGGCGGCACAGUUACCGUGGCAUCAUGAAACACCCGGACCCCAGAGAAAAAGCCUCUCGAGCUGUGACCCAUUCAUAACAUGUAAGAGUUUCUGUUUUCUGACAUUUCUAUUCACUGCUAGUGUUAGAAUCAUUUCAUAGCAUGGGUGGUGUGGUAAACCUUGCUAUUCCCGUGUUUGUUUCAGCACUUCUCCAUGACAUAAUAACUAAACAAGAAAUUCUGAUGGAGCAGCAGAGGAACAUUAUAAGGAUGGUGCAAGAUCUCAAAGCAAACAAUGUUCGUGAGAUCACAGAGGCUAACCAUUUAAGUCCAAAACUGUUUCCAAUGGAAGAUCUAACGUCAUUAACGUCCCUUGAAAGUGAUUUUCGAUCCUGUCCGGAAACGAGACCAAAAGUGGAAACAGAAAGUGGGAGUGGAGAAGAUGAAAUGGCACUCAAGGAUGAAGAAUCCUGUCCGGUACAAAUAGGAGAUCAACGGGCACCAAAGAUGGGCAAACCCUGUGGUCCUAAAUGUGGAAAGAAAUGUACGGAGAAGAUCCCGCAUGUUCGAAGAAAAGAGAUAUUUGAUGCCUAUCAAGACAUGUCACACAGCGACAAGUGGGCUUUUGUAUUUCACUCCGUUACCCAAUCAUUGAAAACACGUCUCACGACGGGAGGUCCCAGCAGACGCAACAAGACUUUUCAGUAUCGUCUAAAUAACAGCCUCGGGCAGCCUCAAGAUGUUUGCAAAACCUUCUACCUAACCACACUGGGAUACCAUCCGAAAAACGACAGCAUGAUUGUCAGCGUGACGGGCAACACGUCCAGUGCUGUUCCUCCUCCAGACCGUAGAGGGCGACACCCACCUGCCAAUAAAAUAGAUCUGUCGCCAAUUCACCAACACAUUGAAACGUUCAAUCCAACUAUCAGUGACUGUACGUGUGAACAUGCUGAAAGCAGGCGAUAUUUAUCAAGCAAUGUAACCGUCAUGAUGAUGUAUAAAGACUUUAAAGGCAAAAGUGCAACUGCGUGUUCAUAUGAAACCUAUAGGAAAGCCAUAAGAGACAUGAAUAUAGGUUUCAGGAAACUGCACGCAGAAGAGUGCAAAGAGUGUCUGGAGCGCGGUAUUCACGUGAAGACUGAGCAUCUCUAA